CUGAGAUAAGUAGAUGGAUCCGUUGCAGGGUCAGUCAUCAAUCUUCAAAACCCUCCAACCACACCAAGAGCCACAGUCAGCCUCUUUUUGAGGUUUAAACAUGCAGGAACAUCAUGUACUGACCAGCUGACAAGGGGAAGAUGGAUAGUGUACAAUAUUUGAAGAGCGAGUUGCCCUGCUGUUCACUGGAGAGACGCAGCAUGUGAAAUGAACGGGAUUUGCCACACAAUUGAUUGGUAGCGGAGAUAAUGGUCUUCAGAGAAAACAAGAUAACUGUAAUUGAGCUCAAUCACUCAUGGACAUCCGACGGUCAAUCAAUGGGUUUCUUUGGAGACCUGGAAUAUGUCGGCCUCAUCAGAAGCACCCGAGAAAAGAGCUCAAUUCUCUGCACGUCCAGAGAAACUGUGUUUUAAGAUUGCGGAUAAAAUGAUAAUGAUCCCGGGAAGAGACUGCCACUAAUGCAAAAGAAAUGGAAGGAAUCCGUCAAGUACAGAUUGCAUGCUGGAGGAGGAAUUGAGAAGGAGAUGAGAAAUGGACAUCAGCUGGAAGUGGGAGAGGAAUGGCUUGGGGAGGAGGAAAAUCUCUGAAUGACAAAUUCGUAUG